UACGAAGGGUGCAAGCGUUACUCGGAAUUACUGGGCGUAAAGCGUGCGCAGGCGGUUCUCCAAGUCAGUGGUGAAAGCCCGGAGCUCAACUCCGGAACUGCCAUUGAAACUGUAGAGCUAGAGUACGAGAGAGGUGAGUGGAAUUCCCAGUGUAGAGGUGAAAUUCGUAGAUAUUGGGAAGAACACCGGUGGCGAAGGCGGCUCACUGGCUCGUAACUGACGCUCAUGCACGACAGCGUGGGGAUCAAACAGG
rnacentral:rRNA from 1 species